rnacentral:rRNA from 1 species
GACGAACGCUGGCGGCGUGCCUAAUACAUGCAAGUCGAGCGCAGGAAGCUGACGGAACUCUUCGGAGGGAAGGCAGUGGAAUGAGCGGCGGACGGGUGAGUAACACGUAAGGAACCUGCCUCAAGGAUUGGGAUAACUCCGAGAAAUCGGAGCUAAUACCGGAUAGUUCAACGGACCGCAUGGUCCGCUGAUGAAAGGCGCUUCGGCGUCACCUUGAGAUGGCCUUGCGGUGCAUUAGCUAGUUGGUGGGGUAACGGCCUACCAAGGCGACGAUGCAGAGCCGACCUGGGAGGGUGAUCGGCCACACUGGGACUGAGACACGGCCCAGACUCCUACGGGAGGCAGCAGUAGGGAAUCUUCCACAAUGGACGAAAGUCUGAUGGAGCAACGCCGCGUGAGUGAUGAAGGUUUUCGGAUCGUAAAACUCUGUUGUAAGGGAAGAACACGUACGAGAGGGAAUGCUCGUACCUUGACGGUACCUUACGAGAAAGCCACGGCUAACUACGUGCCAGCAGCCGCCGUAA